rnacentral:rRNA from 1 species
GACGAAGGAUGCAAGCGUUAUCCGGAUUCAUUGGGUUUAAAGGGAGCGUAGGUGGCCUUAUAAGUCAGUGGUGAAAUCUCUGGGCUUAACCCAGAAAUUGCCAUUGAUACUGUAGGGCUUGAGUAUAGAUGCCGUUGGCGGAAUAUGACAUGUAGUGGUGAAAUACAUAGAGAUGUCAUAGAACACCGAUUGCGAAGGCAGCUAACGAAACUAUAACUGACACUGAGGCUUGAAAGUGUGGGGAUCAAACAGG